GUAAGGCUUCCUUUUCUGGAUCUCUUUGAGAAGCCCCCAAAAAGCUUUCUGACAGCUUUUCCUGUGAAGCACCUGAUUUUUCUUUAUGCAAACUGGUUGUUGAUGAAAUCUCCGUCAUGUCAGUAGAUUGCACGGAACAGUACAGCUGCACAGGAACAAAAGAAACAGUGAAACGAAAGGCAGAGCCGUUUGGUCAGCCAGGUCCUGGCUUGCAGGGCCUUCAGCGAAGCACUGGGCAUUCGAUGCUUGAAGACACUGGAAAAUUACGGUGCUCAGAGUUGGCAGUUUUUAAUUUUCUAUCCAUCACUUUUGCUGUAUAAAAGCUAGAGAAAGUGCAGCCACUAGCAUGGUACACCUUUGAUCUUAGGUGGGCAAUGUGGAAGACUGGGGAGGGGUGUAUCAAUCCUCCAGGUGAAUUUGGGGGGCUGUCCCUAUUCCUGAAAAACAAACUUUUUUUUUACCCUGAAGCGCUCUCUAUGGAGCGGAAAGACAUAUUUCUGAGCUUUUCUGGAUCCAGAGAGGCCAUUUGGGACAUUUGAAGGUGAAGAUUUUGGGGGGAAAACUGCAAAUUUUAAUUUUGACCCAUGGGGUUUAGGGGGACUCCAGAUAUGUAGAAAUGCCCUCCACAUCCCGGAUAUCAUUCUUUAGAAUGUUAAAGAUAAAUAGAUAUUCUCUCUCUCUCUCUCUCUCUCUCUCUCUCUCUCUCUCUCUCUCUCUAUAUAUAUAUAUAUAUAUAUAUAUAGCAGUUAUGCACAGUAUUUAGGCACUGUGAUUUGCGUAUUCAAGAUCCCUCUGUAAUUUCUAUAAAGUCUCAUGUCUGCUGCCAUUUCCACCCUCUUCCAUGAGCGAUCACCAAUGGAACGAGGUUUCCCUUCAUGCUGGAGAUUGCUUGUGUGAAAGGGGGUGGGUGGAAACAGCAGCCAGAUGUUUUCUGAACAAUGGGAACAGAGCCCCAUCAAUCAUAGCAGCAUCUUCCCAGUAAGUGCGUAUUAGGGGACUUUCACAGUCCCUAUAUACAGCUUUUAAACUAAAAGCUAUAUAAGCAUCAUGAAUAUGGAAAAGUAAUGAGCAUGUAACUCCAGGUUACACAUUUGUGGCUGCUACAUAAAUUCAGGGCAUUAUUUAUAUUUUGUCUUCAACAAGAUAAACUUACCCUUUGAGUUGAUGUGGACUACUGAUUCCAAUAUGUUUGAGACAUACUACUGCCAAGGUUUUUUUUUAAAGAAGAUCCCUUACAGAGGUACAGUAUAUUAAUUUCUGCUUGUGUGGUAAGAGCAUACUCAAGAACAUCAUAUUACCUGGUAGAGGAUUCUAGUUCCCUUGUGUGCUUUUUUAGCAAAAAGAUGGAGGCAUAAAUGUUGUAGAUCAGCCUGAGACUGAUGUUUUAGAGAGGAUUGUGGGAUUUCAGUCAAGGGAAUGAUGCUUCUGUCAAUAGAAAGCUGGCUGGGAAAGUGCAGGCCUUCAAGGUCAGGUAGAACAGCCAGAGACAUUACAUAAGGAGGAGUCGAGCAGAGAAUUGAGUGAUACAGAAGCCUCCCAGGAAAAAACACCUGGAGAUACAGAAAUCAACACAGGCCUUUGUUUACAGAUCAGAGCAGACAAUAGGCAUUGCAGGGCAUAACGUUUGUGUGGGAAAGUUGGGGAAAGAUUCAAGGGAGAUGAAAUGCUUUCAUGGGUGGCUUUAAUUGGCAUGUUGUGUACUUUCAAGUUAGUUCAGACAAGUUGCAUAUGAAGCUAGGCCUGAGUUUCUGGUUCAUAUUUCAAGUCAAGCCUUUUGGUUUUGGGAUUCAAGUAUCUUGGGAGUUUCUUUGUUCCUGUUUUUUAUUCAUGAUCAAGUUUUACUAAGGAUACUUUUUGAUUGUGGACUUAAGCUGUUCUUGUGAUUUUUGGCUAUUUCUGUACUAUAUUACCUUUGAAUCUGUUUGAGACAUGUGGAUUUCUAUUGGAUUUUUGCUUAUUGCCAAACCUUUUGGAUAUACCCUUUCUUUCUCAAUUCCUGCAUUUUUCCUAUGCUUUUACUUUUGAUAUAUUUUACAAUAAACUGUUUGCCUAUA